rnacentral:rRNA from 1 species
GUCUACGGCCAUAUCACCCAGAAUACUCUCCAGCUUGUCUGAUCUCAGAAGCUAAGUAGGGUCAGGCCUGUUAGUACUUGGGUGGGAGGACAGGGUAGAACUGUGGGUUUCCUAGACU